AUUUUAAUGCUACAAAAUUAAAAAUUACUUGGGAGUGUAUAGCUACUAAAACAUGUAUUUUUGUCGCCGUUCCUUCUUCUUUAUGCCCAAAAAUUUACUUCAAUUAAGGUCUUACAAUUCAUAACCAAUAUGAAAGAGCACAAAAUUCUACGCAAACAACAUCAUACAAAAACACAUGUUUUACGACUUAUCGAAGAUAUAAAGCAGAAACAUACCGACAACGAGAUAAGUUUUCACAAUUGCAAAAGUUAA
rnacentral:sRNA from 1 species